CCAUUUGCCCUCUACAUUCAAACCAUUUUAAACUGUCAUGGCUUCACUCAAAGCAUUGUGGGAACUGCAGCUUGCGAAGGCUGCAGAGAGUUGUCAGAAGACCUAUUCCCUUCACAGGGCUGUAAUUCCCAGAAUGGUUUAAGAGUCAAUCCCUCUUCCCACGAAAACUCUGGGAAUUGAAGCUCUCUGAAAGAGAGGGAAAGGGGUGUCCUAAUAACUUUCUGCACUUUUAUCAAACUUAACAGUUCUCAGGGUUCUUUGGGGGAAGUAGCCAUGACUGUUUAAAGUCACAUCUUGUUGCUUUAAAUGUAUCAUGCAGGUUGGGUCUUAAGAAAGAGUCUGUUGAAUUUUGACAGUUGAGGGAAAAGGGGAGUCGAUAAAAGAUGUUUAUAUUCCAGGCCAGAUUCAAGGUUCUUCUGCUGAUAUACAACACCCUGAGCAGCUUGAGCCCAGGGUACCUCAAGGACUGUCUGAACCUUCAUAUACCCCAGCCUGAUCACUGAGAUUAUCCAGGUUUUCCCAGUAUUUUUGUUACUUCUACAAAUAUUUCAUCCCAGAAUUGGGCAACUUUGGCACUUUACCAUCACAUGUGUGUGAAGGAACCAUGAACUGGACGUCCCCUGCAGCAAGGAGCUGAGUAGGAUUUUAGUGCUUUUUUUUAAAGGCAUUAAAUGCCAUUUUUGUAUUAUUUUCAAAGAAUUUUAUUUUAGUCUUGCUGAAUUUGUUUUACAAGGAUUUUUUCUCCCAUAGCUGCCCAAUCUUCAUCCAAAAUAGUUCAAUUCUGGACAGAUUCCUGCACUCCAGACACACUGUGACGGUCAAUCAAGCUUCCCCAAGUGGCAAAGGCCACACACCCAGAGUGCUCAGGGAUUUAAGUGCUCAGGGACCCAAAAAGAGAUUGCACCCAUGUACUGUGAAGAUACAGCUACCACAGCAAUGGGAGGAAUCAUUUGCACAGGGGGUAGUCAACUAGUCACUUGAGAGCUUCAACAGCCCUUAAGGGGUUCCUGCCAAGUCCCCAGGACAGCCCUGAACCCCAGGAGAUGCCUCCUCCUAUGUAAGCAGCAUAGCCAAGUGCCCAUCCCCAGAACCUGCCCCUGCACCCA